UACGUAGGGCGCAAGCGUUGUCCGGAUUCAUUGGGCGUAAAGCGCGCGUAGGCGGCUCGGAGAGUCGGUCGUGAAAUGCCGGGGCUCAACCCCGGACUGCGUCCGAUACUGGAAGGCUUGAAUCCGGGAGAGGGAUGCGGAAUUCCAGGUGUAGCGGUGAAAUGCGUAGAUAUCUGGAGGAACACCGGUGGCGAAGGCGGCAUCCUGGACCGGCAUUGACGCUGAGGCGCGAAAGCCAGGGGAGCAAACGGG
rnacentral:rRNA from 1 species